rnacentral:rRNA from 1 species
UGGCUAACUCCUACGGGAGGCAGCAGUGGGGAAUAUUGCACAAUGGGGGAAACCCUGAUGCAGCGACGCCGCGUGAACGAAGAAGGUAUUCGUAUCGUAAAGUUCUGUCCUAUGGGAAGAUAAUGACAGUACCAUAGAAGAAAGCUCCGGCUAAAUACGUGCCAGCAGCCGCGGUAAUACGUAUGGAGCGAGCGUUGUCCGGAAUGAUUGAGCGUAAAGGGUACGCAGGCGGUUUAAUAAGUCGAAUAUUAAAGAUCGGAGCUCAACCCCGUAAAGCAUUGGAAACUGAUAAACUUGAGUAAUGGAGAGGAAAGUGGAAAUCCUAGUGUAGUGGUGAAAUACGUAGAUAUUAGGAGGAAUACCAGUAGCGAAGGCGACUUUCUGGACACAAACUGACGCUGAGGUACGAAGCGUGGGGAGCAAACAGGAUUAGAAACCCCUGUAGUCCAGCUGG